GCGGGCAGUUUGACUGGGGCGGUCGCCUCCUAAAAGGUAACGGAGGCGCUCAAAGGUUCCCUCAGAAUGGUUGGAAAUCAUUCAUAGAGUGGAAAGGCAUAAGGGAGCUUGACUGCGAGACCUACAAGUCGAGCAGGGUCGAAAGACGGACUUAGUGAUCCGGUGGUUCCGCAUGGAAGGGCCAUCGCUCAACGGAUAAAAGCUACCCCGGGGAUAACA
rnacentral:rRNA from 1 species